UAAUUCGGGGGUGCUUUACACAUGCAAGUCGAACGGCAGCACGGACUUCGGUCUGGUGGCGAGUGGCGAACGGGUGAGUAAUGUAUCGGAACGUGCCCAGUAGCGGGGGAUAACUACGCGAAAGCGUAGCUAAUACCGCAUACGCCCUACGGGGGAAAGCAGGGGAUCGCAAGACCUUGCACUAUUGGAGCGGCCGAUAUCGGAUUAGCUAGUUGGUGGGGUAACGGCUCACCAAGGCGACGAUCCGUAGCUGGUUUGAGAGGACGACCAGCCACACUGGGACUGAGACACGGCCCAGACUCCUACGGGAGGCAGCAGUGGGGAAUUUUGGACAAUGGGGGAAACCCUGAUCCAGCCAUCCCGCGUGUGCGAUGAAGGCCUUCGGGUUGUAAAGCACUUUUGGCAGGAAAGAAACGUCGCGGGUUAAUACCCCGCGAAACUGACGGUACCUGCAGAAUAAGCACCGGCUAACUACGUGCCAGCAGCGGCGGUAAUA
rnacentral:rRNA from 1 species